AUAAACUCAAGUGCAUGUCUUGCUAGUGCUGACUUCCAAUGUCAUUUCUACUAUGUUGAGAGUUAAAUGUAAGUGUCCUUGGGCAGAAAGAGAGGACCUCAGCUUGGAUCAGAAUCUGUCCUUUAUUAGCUACAUAACAUCACAUAUUAAUUUUUUUUCAGGUGAAAAAUGAAGGUAAUAAUGCAUGACCACCUGUUUUGAGAAUCAAAUUGGAUAAUAACUAUGAUAAAAGGAAGGCAGUCUCAUCACCAGCAUCAUUCCUGCUCUGACCAUCAUCUGGUCAUGUGAUAGUUCCUGGUGAUCCGGGAAGCAGAUAGUUCUCUCUGUCCAGCCUCAUGGUUGACUGUAUGUAGACUGGGAAAUGUCUGUGGGCAGUCGCGUGAUGCUGUUAUGUUCACAGUGAUGCAUUGAAUCCGUGCCCGGCACCAAGCCUAUUUACCCACAAAAGUCUGAUUCAAGAGUAACAAGCAUCUUUCUCGCUACAAACUAUUCCACCUGUGUCUUCCAGUUCUAUUACACUCACUAGGGAAAGGGUGUUUGGCACAAUGUAUUCCAAAAUGCAGAGCUAGACCAAAGCAGGUGGGUAGAAAAAGGAGUCCACUGGGAUUCAGAAAGCAUCGAGUGUCUCUGUGAUGGUGUUGCCAUUUACCCUGAUUUGCCUGGGACUGAAGGGUUUACCAGCAUGGGACUCUCUGUGACGUAAGUGCUCUAGAUUCGGGCAAAUCAAGCUGAGUUCUGGUCCUAGCUUGUUAAUUCUAAUACUUUUUGUAUUUUUUUUUGGUGUGACAGAAAAUUGCACAUGUGCAGUCAUGACUCAUAAAAAAUAGUAAUAGUUUUCUUCGCUUUAUAAGAGUAUUUUUAAUCUUGCUUUUUUUUUGGCCCUUGUCCAGGGGUAGACCCUCCAGGGCAAUGUCUAAUAGAAUGGUGUAGUGUAUAUCUUUUUAUAUUCGUUGGAUAGAAAGGAGAACUCUCAGUAUUUCACAAUUAAUUACGAUGCUUUCUGUCUUUUUUGUAGAUUCAUUUCAUCAUAGCAACAGGUCUUGUUCUAUUCCUUAUUUUCUGAGAGACAGAAAACUGAAAAUGUACUGAAAUUUACAAAAUGCUUUUUCUUUAUAAGCUGAAAUAAUGUUAUGAUUAUUCUACCUUUUCAGUAAGUGUUGUUUUAUUCUAUGUUUUUUGAGACAGAGUCUUGCUUCGUCACCCAGGCUGGAGUGCAGUGGUACAAUCUUGGCUCACUGCAAUCUCCACCUCCCGGGUUCAAGAGAUUCUCUUGCCUCAGCCUCCUGAGUAGCUGGGACUAUGGGAGCACACCACCAUGCCCAGCUAACUUUUGUAUUUUUAAUAGAGACAGAGUUUCACCAUGUUGGCCAGCUGAUCGCAAACUCCUGACCUCAAGAGAUCCACCUGCCUCGGCUUCCCAAAAUGUGUUAUUUUAAAAGUUGAUUAAUGUUCAAAUAUUAGCCCAGUCUUGCAUUUCUGAAAACAAUUCAUGUGGUUACGAUCAUAUGUAUAUGCCAUUGGAUUUUAUUUACUUAUAUUUUGUUUAGGAUAUUUACUAUCAUUGCAUUCCAAAAAUAUAUUCUCCUAUUCUUACUCUAUUUCCUCUACCUUCUCUAAGUAAAGAAAUUCCGAAUAUAGCAAAAUUCCUACCCUUCUGUGCCCAAUUUGACCUUGAUGUGACCCCCUGUAUUGGUUUUUCUAAAGGCAAUUUCAUGCCCCAUGAAAUACUCUAGCAGUUCUAUUGCAGAGUGUGGGCUUGGGGAUCAACAGUUCUUUUUUCAACAGGGGCACUAGACUAUCCCAUGGGUCCCUUUCAAACACACACACCCCAUGGGGGGAACUCCCAGGAGAUACUUGUAGCCCAGUUGUAGUCUUUCUUAUCUACUUUGACAGAAACAAUGAAGUCUAGCCCAAUUAUCUGAAAUCUGUACUUAGUCAUUUCUACAACAAUAUUGUGUUAAUCUAGAAAACGUGAGUGAGGAAUUGUCUUUAAUCUGCAACUCAAAUUAUAGGAGGAGGAAAUUACAUCAGCAUAUGUAGGUAUCAGUUAAAUUCAUUGAGGAGAACCUGGGGGAAAGUGUGAUUGGUGGAUCCCAAAUAACGAGACAGUGGUAUCAGAUUAUCACUUGAUUAACAAACACAUAAAACAUGAGAGCCCAUGCAGCUCUCUAACAACAGGCCUAUUGCACUGAGUUUUACAUGUAGAUUUUUGAAGAGAGUGGAAAGUAAACACUGAGUUUCCUGAGAAUAUAAGUAGACGUGUAUGACAGAAUAUCAUUAUCGGUUCUUAAAUAUUAUGGCAGAAAUGAAUGAAGUGAAAGUUUACACUAACAUGUAAGAAAUAUCACUAUUUAGACCCUACAGAGGGAUGGCUUUGGAUAGAAAAAUAAGAUUAGAUUGCCCUUGGAACUUCAAAGUUACACAAAAAGAAACAGAGCAAAGUUAUGCACAGGCAUCUUAAAAAGAAUGAAUGGCUUCGAAGCUAGCCAAAUUUAUUCUAGUCUGGUAAGGAUUUGAAAAUGAAUAUUUCUUAUAUGGGAAUGUGGCAUUCAAAUUCUUCCCUCUGGGAAUAUAUGUAGGAGUGAAAUUGCCACGUCAUAGGAAACACUUAUAAUCAGCAUUAGUAGAAAGAAAAAAGCAGUGUUUCAACAUUUUACAACCAGUAGUGACUCCUGCUUGACCCUAAUAUUGUGAACCUUCUGAAUUGUACUGGUAUGUAUUUAUGUUUUAGAUUUGCAUUUAUUUGAUGACUAAUGUCUAAUAGGCAUUGGUUGUUCCUUUUUCCUUUUUCAUAAGAUGCCUGUUCAAGUCUUCUACCCAUACUUCUUCAUGGUUGUUAAUUUCUUAGUGUUUUAUAGAUUUUGGACGUAUGUUCUGACUAGUGUAUAGAUAGAUAGAUAGAUAGAUAGAUAGAUAGAUAGAUAGAUAGAUAGAUAAUGUGGAGAUUAUUUUCUAUAAACUUAUAUAAGAUAUAUAUGUAUCAGGAGUUUAUCAUUUAUUGAGUGGAUAUGGUAUAAAUAUUUUGUCACAUGCUGUGUUUUAUCUUUCCUUUUUGCUCUCUUUUUUUUGUUAAAUUUUGUUUUUAAUUUUUACCAAAACAUGAAUCCUGUUAUUGUCAUUUAACAAUGGGGAUAGGUUCUGAGAAAUGAACCACUAGGUAAUUUUGUCAUUGUGUGAACAUUGUAGAGUGUACUUAAACCUGGAUCAUAUAGCUUACUAUACAUCUAGGCUAUUUGAUAUGGCCUAUUUUUAAAAAUUAUACUUUAAGUUCUGGGGUACAUGUGCAGAACGUGCAAAUUUGUUACAUAAGUAUACACGUGCCAUGGUGGUUUGCUGCACCCAUCAACCCGUCAUCUACAUUAGGUAUUUCACUUAAUGCUAUCCCUCCUGUAUCCCCCUACUCCCUGACAGGCCCUGGUGUGUGAUGUUCCCCUCCC
rnacentral:lncRNA from 10 species